GAUGAACGCUGGCGGCGUGCCUAAUACAUGCAAGUCGAGCGAACAGACGAGAGUGCUUGCACUCUCUGACGUUAGCGGCGGACGGGUGAGUAACACGUGGGUAACCUACCUAUAAGACUGGGAUAACUUCGGGAAACCGGAGCUAAUACCGGAUAAUAUUUAGCUUCGCAUGAAGCAAUAGUGAAAGACGGUUCUGCUGUCACUUAUAGAUGGACCCGCGGUGUAUUAGCUAGUUGGUGAGGUAACGGCUCACCAAGGCAACGAUACAUAGCCGACCUGAGAGGGUGAUCGGCCACACUGGGACUGAGACACGGCCUAGACUCCUACGGGAGGCAGCAGUAGGGAAUCUUCCGCAAUGGACGAAAGUCUGACGGAGCAAUGCCGCGUGAGUGAAGAAGGUUUUCGGAUCGUAAAACUCUGUUGUAAGGGAAGAACAAGUACGUUAGUAACUGAACGUACCUUGACGGUACCUUACCAGGAAGCCACGGCUAACUACGUG
rnacentral:rRNA from 1 species